GCCUGAAAGAGGAAGAAUAGAUGGUCUUAGAGUAGUGGGAAUGGGAACAUGGAGGAAACCCUAACUUACUCGGUUUUCACCUCUAGUAUCGGAGGUUAGAACUGAGUGUGGUGUUUUCCGAUGCCUCCCAUUCCUAUUAUUCUAAGGCACUCGUUCCUCUUUAUUUUUUGG
rfam:Triticum urartu cultivar G1812 contig1078369, whole genome shotgun sequence.